UACGGAGGGUGCAAGCGUUAUCCGGAUUCACUGGGUUUAAAGGGUGCGUAGGCGGGUAAGUAAGUCCGUGGUGAAAUCUCUGAGCUUAACUCAGAAACUGCCGUGGAUACUAUUUGCCUUGAAUAUUGUGGAGGUGAGCGGAAUAUGUCAUGUAGCGGUGAAAUGCUUAGAUAUGACAUAGAACACCCAUUGCGAAGGCAGCUCGCUACACUAUCAUUGACACUGAGGCACGAAAGCGUGGGGAUCAAACAGG
rnacentral:rRNA from 1 species